rnacentral:rRNA from 1 species
GACGUAGGGCGCGAGCGUUGUCCGGAUUUAUUGGGCGUAAAGAGCUCGUAGGCGGUGUGUCGCGUCGGCCGUGAAAACCUGCAGCUUAACUGUGGGCUUGCGGUCGAUACGGGCAUCACUGGAGUUCGGUAGGGGAGACUGGAAUUCCUGGUGUAGCGGUGAAAUGCGCAGAUAUCAGGAGGAACACCGGUGGCGAAGGCGGGUCUCUGGGCCGAUGACUGACGCUGAGGAGCGAAAGCGUGGGGAGCGAACAGG